rnacentral:rRNA from 1 species
UUUGAACCCCCGAAACCGGAGGAGCUACUCCGGGACAGCCUAUAGUAGGGCCAACCCGUCUCUGUGGCAAAAGAGUGGGAAGAUCCCCGAGUAGAGGUGAAAGACCUACCGAGUCAGGUUAUAGCUGGUUGCCCAAGAAAUGAAUAGAAGUUCAGCCCCGUUCUACCCUUAUCCACCGCAGUUCCACUUGAAUUAGGUACCAGGAUAUUAACGGGAGUUAGUCAAAGGAGGUACAGCUCCCUUAACAAAGGAUACAACCUUCACAGGAGGCUAAGGAAUACACUAAACUAAGGCCACAGGUUUCAGUGGGCCUAAAAGCAGCCAUCUGAAUAGAAAGCGUUAAAGCUCAGACCAAAUUAAGCCUAUUAUAACAUUAAACACCCUCAAUGCCCCUAACCAAUACUGGGCCCCCCUAUGUUCACAUAGGAGAGACCAUGCUAGAACAAGUAAUAAGAAGAACGAACUUCUCCCCGCACAUGUGUAAGUCGAAUCGGACCCGCCAUCGACAAUUAACGAAUCCAACAAAAGAGGGCCAUGCGUCACUGCCACACCAGGCCGAGAAAAGCACGCAAACUACCCAUCGUUACCCCCACACAGGAGUGCCUUAGCAAAGGGAAAGACUUAAAGAAUAAAAAGGAACU